rnacentral:rRNA from 1 species
CAGUAGCCGCGGUAAUACGUAGGUGGCAAGCGUUGUCCGGAAUUAUUGGGCGUAAAGGGCUCGCAGGCGGUUUCUUAAGUCUGAUGUGAAAGCCCCCGGCUCAACCGGGGAGGGUCAUUGGAAACUGGGAAACUUGAGUGCAGAAGAGGAGAGUGGAAUUCCACGUGUAGCGGUGAAAUGCGUAGAGAUGUGGAGGAACACCAGUGGCGAAGGCGACUCUCCGGUCUGUAACUGACGCUGAGGAGUGAAAGCGUGGGGAGCGAACAGGAUUAGAUACCCGCGUAGUCCCUGUCUCUUAUAA